UAGGGAAUCUUCCACAAUGGACGCAAGUCUGAUGGAGCAACGCCGCGUGAGUGAAGAAGGGUUUCGGCUCGUAAAGCUCUGUUGUUGAAGAAGAACGUGGGUAAGAGUAACUGUUUACCCAGUGACGGUAUUUAACCAGAAAGCCACGGCUAACUACGUGCCAG
rnacentral:rRNA from 1 species